rnacentral:tRNA from 1 species
GCCUUCGUUUUGUAAUGGUUAGCACACUCGGCACGUAUCCGAGAGGCCUAGGUUCGAGUCCCGGCGAGGGCA